CCUGCCUGCAGGAAACUAUAACGGAGGAGUUGAAACUAACUAGUGAUUAAACUAAGCUGCAACAACCAAUCAGGAACAAUCUUUUUUAAAUAUUUCCUUUCCAUAUGCUAUUUCUAUUAGUGAAGUUGCAUAUUUUUUAUGAGCAUUUUAAAUAGAAAAUGUUUUGGCCGCCUAUGAUUGGCAUUGCAGAGGAGUGACAGACUUUUCCAGAGAUGUUCACAGUUUUCUAUACGAGAGAAUGCACGACUACCAAAGGGAGGGCGAGAAAAUAGAAGUCUUGGGGUAUUCAUUUCUGGACAUGGCACUGCAUAUUCUGCCAUCACUGAUGCUGCCCCAGACCCCGUUGCCAUUACCGUCCACCUGUCUCUGCAUUGCAUUCAAAACCGCUUAUAUUUUUCUGGUACAAAAAUACUUUUUUGCAUGUAAUGUGUAAACAGCCCACGUAACUUGACAGGUCUAGCAUGCUUUGCUUCUUCCAUGUCACCUCCUCGUAUGGACAGCUAACCUUUUGUCAAAAUCCAUUUCUCAUAAAUGUGAUUUGCUUAGGCAAAUGAACUGUUUGUUCUACAGGUUUCUGAAGUUUAGUUCAUUUUACUGGAUCCUGUCAACGGACACAAAGUUGAACUAAUUGUCAUGUUAGGGUUUGUGAAGAAAUUGUUCCUGGAGGGUUUACAAACAUUUUCAGCGUAUACAUCAAAAAAAUGCAGCUACCUAUGUCUAAAUCUUUACUGCGUAAUCUCUUUUAUGUUUUGGAUUCCUAUAUUUAUUUACCCUAUCUUGUAUCUAUGGUGCUGUUGUUUAGGGUUAAUAGUCAUCAUAACAGACACUAGAAUUAUAUGGUCGAGAAGGAGAUGGAUGGAUGGCAGUCUCUGCAACUUUGUAUAGAGGCUCUGAUGCCCUCGGUAGCAUGGAAAUAGGAGGAGAAGAAUCAAAGUGACUGCUAUGAGAAUUUUGGGCCUGCUGAACAAGCCACACAUUAGGACAAUUUCUUUGGGGGCUUGGUUAUGAAAUCCGUGGUCAUAUGGAGUAGCCUGGCUAUGUAAAAGAUGCAUAAAAAUGGAUAAAGCUGCAAAUGAUGGCACAGGUGCGGCUCAACUUCAAGACAAGAGAACUUCAGCAGGACACUUUGGCAGGCCUACCUAAAGCCCUCCGUUCGAACAUCUAUCACCAUCUCUUUCUACCAACCGUUGAAAACACUUACAUUUUCAAAGGAGUUUCAAGAAAUAUGCUUUUGCAAUUUGUUGCAGAGAUGAAAGGAGAAUACUUUCCACCAAAUGUAGAUAUCAUUUUAAAGAACCAGAUUCCUGGGGAUUUUUACAUAAUUGUUUUUGGAACAGU